CAGAAGCAGCCUGAGGAAGAGAGUGCUAGGUAGCUGUGUUAGCCCAUCACCACGUCGGUUUGUUGUGUCACUGUACACGAAUCGGAUUGACUAUUCUGCCGGGAGCAGUCGUACCUCUCACUGCCACCACGGUUACAUGGGCAUUUCUGGCAUGUUGCCCAGUGCCACUUGCUUUCAAAAUACAAGAUGGUCAGAAGUCCCAAUGCUUUGUGGAAAGAGAUCAUGGUCAUCCAGGGGAACCAAAGCAUGGCAGAGCUGCUGUUAUAACCGCUUUCCGAUUCGGUGCAAGAGUACGUAUUACCCAUGAAGAGGGAUGAAUGCUGUACUCUGCUGAGAGGCUUCAAGCUACUGCUGACUCUGGAAAUUGUAAGCAUCAAAGAUAAUUCAUUAAAAAACUGGAGGCCUGACGAGGAAUGCCCCUUAAACCGAACUUUCAAACUGAAUUUGAUCAAAGAUGUGCCAUGAUCUUAACCUUCCACAUUUCAGAAGACAGCAACCAGUUGCAUCUCCUAAGUUUCAACAGGUUUCUGGAUUUUGUACCCAGAGAAGCCCUGGUUCACUUAAAUCUUGGCUGGAUUGUGCCUAGAACUUGGGAUGUAUAAAGAAGC